rnacentral:tRNA from 1 species
GCAUUGGUGGGUCAGUGGUACAGCGCUCGCCUGUCACGUUGGAGGCCUGGGUUCGUUUCCCGAGCAAUGCU